ACACGACUACAUUAGAUACCCGUGUAGUCCUAGCCGUAAACGAUACUCGCUAGGUGUCGGCCACGGUGCGACCGUUGUCGGUGCCGUAGGGAAGCCGUGAAGCGAGCCACCUGGGAAGUACGGCCGCAAGGCUGAAACUUAAAGGAAUUGGCGGGGAGCACAACAACGGGUGGAGCUUGCGGUUUAAUUGGACUCAACGCCGGAAAACUCAUCGGGAGCGACAGCAGUAUGAUUGCCAGGUUGAUGACCUUGCUUGACAAGCUG
rnacentral:rRNA from 1 species